GACGAACGCUGGCGGCGUGCUUAACACAUGCAAGUCGAACGAUGAACCGGUUUCGGCCGGGGAUUAGUGGCGAACGGGUGAGUAACACGUGGGCAAUCUGCCCUGCACUCUGGGAUAAGCCCGGGAAACUGGGUCUAAUACCGGAUACGACACUCCGAGGCAUCUUGGGGUGUGGAAAGUUCCGGCGGUGCAGGAUGAGCCCGCGUCCUAUCAGCUUGUUGGUGGGGUAAUGGCCUACCAAGGCGACGACGGGUAGCCGGCCUGAGAGGGUGACCGGCCACACUGGGACUGAGACACGGCCCAGACUCCUACGGGAGGCAGCAGUGGGGAAUAUUGCACAAUGGGCGAAAGCCUGAUGCAGCGACGCCGCGUGAGGGAUGACGGCCUUCGGGUUGUAAACCUCUUUCAGCAGGGAAGAAGCGAAAGUGACGGUACCUGCAGAAGAAGCACCGGCUAACUACGUG
rnacentral:rRNA from 1 species